CUCUCUUUCUCUUUCUCACUCUCUCUCACACACUCUCUAUUUCUCUCUCCCUCUCUCUCACACUCUCUUUCUCUUUCUCUCACUCUCUCACACACUAUUUCUCUCUCUCUCUCUCUCUCACACUCUCUCUCACACCCUCUCACACACUCUCUAUUUCUCUCUCUCUCUCACACUCUCUCACACUCUCUCUCACACACUCUCUAUUUCUCUCUCUCUCACACUCUCUCUCACACUCUCUCUCACACACUCUCUACUUCUCUCUCUCUCUCACAUGCUCACUCUCACUCUCUCUGUCUGUCUGUCUGUCUGUCUGUCUGUCUGUCUGUCUGUCUGUCUGUCUGUCUGUCUGUCUCUCUCUCUCUCUCUCUCUGUCGAUGUGUUCGUCAGUCACUGUACUCAAACAAAGUGAGCAUCGUCCUCCUCCUCCAACAUGUGUUGUGCUGUACCCACUAAGCAUAAUGUUGUUCCCACUGAGCAUCCUUGAACACCCAAUGAGAGGUUCUGUGUUUAAUGUGUUCAUCAUAGUGACUGUUCCUCUAGAGUGGUUCUGUAUUUAAUGUGUUCAUCA
rnacentral:lncRNA from 1 species